AUGCUCAUUUCGGCAACACAUAUACUAAAAUUGGAACAAUAGAAAGAGUAGCAUGGCCCCUGUGCAAGGAUGACAAACAAAUUGAUAUCAUCCCAGUAGUUUAUUUUU